UACAGAGGGUGCGAGCGUUAAUCGGAAUUACUGGGCGUAAAGCGCGCGUAGGCGGCUUUGCAAGUCGAUUGUGAAAUCUCCGGGCUUAACCCGGAAAGGUCAACCGAUACUGCGGGGCUAGAGUGCAGAAAGGGCAACUGGAAUUCUCGGUGUAGCGGUGAAAUGCGUAGAUAUCUGGAGGAACACCGGUGGCGAAGGCGGCGUUCUGGACUGUAACUGACACUGAAAAACGAAAGCCAGGGGAGCAAACGGG
rnacentral:rRNA from 1 species